GAUGAACGCUGACAGAAUGCUUAACACAUGCAAGUCUACUUGAACUUCGGUUUGGGUGGCGGCCGGGUGAGUAACGCGUAAAGAACUUGCCUCACAGUUAGGGACAACAUUUGGAAACGAAUGCUAAUACCUGAUAUUAUGAUUUUAGGGCAUCCUAGGAUUAUGAAAGCUAUAUGUGCUGUGAGAGAGCUUUGCGUCCCAUUAGCUAGUUGGAGAGGUAACGGCUCACCAAGGCGAUGAUGGGUAGCCGGCCUGAGAGGGUGAACGGCCACAAGGGGACGGAGACACGGCCCUUACUCAUACGGGAGGCAGCAGUGGGGAAUAUUGGACAAUGGACCAAAAGUCUGAUCCAGCAAUUCUGUGUGCACGAUGACGUUUUUCGGAGUGUAAAGUGCUUUCAGUUGGGAAGAAAAAAAUGACGGUACCAACAGAAGAAGUGACGGCUAAAUACGUG
rnacentral:rRNA from 1 species